rnacentral:tRNA from 1 species
GGCCUGAUAGCUCAACUGGUAGAGCACUGUACCAGCAUCACACAGGUCAGGGUUCAAGUACCUGUUCAGGCCA